GAUGAAGAACGUAGCAAAAUGCGAUACUUGGUGUGAAUUGCAGAAUCCCGUGAACCAUCGAGUUUUUGAACGCAAGUUGCGCCCGAAGCCUUUUGGCCGAGGGCACGUCUGCCUGGGCGUCACGCAUCGCGUCGCCCCCCACAAUUCUCCGUAAAAGGAACAUGUGUUUUGGGGGCGGAUAUUGGUCUCCCGUGCUCAUGGCGUGGUUGGCCGAAAUAGGAGUCCUUUCGAUGGACGCACGAACUAGUGGUGGUCGUAAAAACCCUCGUCUUUUGUUUCGUGCUGUUGCUCGCAUGGUAAACUCUUUAAAAACCCCAAUGUGUCGUCUCUUGACGACGCUUCGACCGCGACCCCAGGUCAGGCGGGACUACCCGCUGAGUUUAAGCAUAUCAAUAAGCGGAGGA
rnacentral:misc_RNA from 1 species